AUACGUAGGGGGCAAGCGUUGUCCGGAAUUACUGGGCGUAAAGGGUGAGUAGGCGGUUGUUUAAGUUGGAUGUGAAAUCCCCGGGCUUAACCUGGGUGGUGCAUUCAAAACUGAACGACUAGAGUGUCGGAGAGGAAAGCGGAAUUCCUGGUGUAGCGGUGAAAUGCGUAGAUAUCAGGAGGAACACCGGUGGCGAAGGCGGCUUUCUGGACGAUAACUGACGCUGAGGCACGAAAGCGUGGGGAGC
rnacentral:rRNA from 1 species